UUUAUCUUGUUGAUCAUGUUUUACAGGUACAACACUCUUCAAGUAUCUCUAGGCUACCAAGGAUUUCUAUCAUUAUUUAUUUAGUAGAGCAAAAUAUUUUAUCGGUAACAGAAUAUAUAUGAAAAUUGAUUUCAAUGUAAAUGUAAAGUUUAUAAAUCCAUUUUCUGACUUGGCCUUUAUCUGGGUGGGUUUGGGUUUGGGCGGAUAAAGGCCAAGUCAGAAUUCUCUUAGCAGCUAUUUCUGGAAAUAGCUGCUAAUAAACAAAAGACAUCAGAAAGUAUGGGCUUUAGGUGUAGCCCAUACUCUCUGAUAUAUUAAUAAAAUCUACUAACUGACACCCUAUAGCAGCAUUACAUUCACACUUGGGGGCUUAGUUGGGUAUGUGAGCGGUGUUCAAAGGACUUUUUUUUGGGUAGAUGUAUUUUCUUCAGACAGGGCAAAAACAGUCCUGUCUCCUUUGUGGUGAAACCGUCAAACCUCCCCAUCCACAGCUGAACCAACAUCAUCUUUAACACCAUAUUCAUGAACUCCUGAUCCCAACCUCAUCCAUCACUGCUGGACAACACAGAGACUAGAUGCCAAAUACAGACUGCUGCCUUUAUAACCUGCCAUACCAGUGUAUCUUCAGCGGAGAAGAUGACACACUCAUCACUCUACCUGCUAAUUCAUCUGCAGACCAUCACCAUUUUGCCACACUCCACACCUCUGAAACCAUCACUGAUGAGUUAUGCUGAAAAAUCUGUACUUCCUGUCACGCUACAGUGAUCCUGAGACCAAAGAGAGCUAUUGUUGUCUUGUGAAUUCUUCCAUUUCACAACUGACACAUUAAAACCUCAUCACAGAGCUCUUGUCUAUUCUCACCAUCAUGUGACUGUCAGAUUGCUCUGGACCCUGGACCUGCAACAAAUAUGAGUGACCAUCUUUUGUGACUUCAUUGCUACUGAUCAACCACCUUGGUCCAGGAAGAUAAGAGGGCUGCAGCCAAUCUUUGAAUCAGUUUGUAUCACCAGAAUUAACAAACGAUAUCAGAUAUAUGAAAAUGAGCUUUCAACAAAUGUGGAUUAUUUUUUUUAUUGUGUCUUGACUGUGUUGCAAGAAUCUAUAUAACUUGUUUGUGAAAAUAGUAGAUUCACAUUUUUCUUAACUCUGUAAGAAUAGCAGGCUGGAUUCAUACAAACACACAGCUUUCAAUCUUCAGUUGUAGACUACACAAUAUUAAUCAUGUAAUUCUUUUUGAGAAUGAGAAAAACAAACAAACACUGCAGUGAUCCAUUCUCUUAAUGUUUCUAAUUUGAAAUGUGAAAAAAUGCAUAUUGAACAUGAUAAAUCAUUACAUCUCAUAUAGUGUUUGUUUGAAUCCUCCCUUCAUAUGGGGUGUCAAUUAGUAUAUGAGUACAGAACUUGUGUAACACUGCUUUCUCCACAUUCUUUUUUAUAGUAUUCUAAUAUAUAGGUAGUUGCACACACAUACUGCAGGAUCUUAAUGGUAAAGUCUGUUUCAAAAUGAACCCCUGCUUCUCAGACCAUGAUUAACAAUCCCCUGUAGCUGUUGAAAAGUGCAUAGUUAAAAUCUACUGAUAUGAAUUACUGUUUAUCAUUUCUUUUGAGAAAACACAGCUGACUUCAGUUUACAUAACAGUGCAACCAUAACUUUCAUGUAUAUGACUUUACAGUUACUUUAUGAGAGAUUCCCAGCUACGACACAUUGGUAGCAGCAAUAUGUCAAAACCCUUUACAAGUUAAAACAAAGAAUCAUUCACUGUCUAAGAAAAGGCAGUGAUUUAUUUCCCAUCGAAUUGAUUUCACAACUUUAAUGUUCUUUAUCCCUCUUUCUCUCAAUAUGUGCAACAAUUAUUCAGCUGUGUUACUGUCCAUGUCUGAAAUGUAUCACAAACUGGACUUUAUUUAAAUAUUAUUUAGGCCCCAUGUUUAUCAAAUUCAUACAAGUGAAAACAGAAUCUCUCAAAGAAAUUGACAAAAAUCCUCUUCUUAGCUUUCAUGUGGUUUUGAAAUAUGUUGUUUUUCUUGCCAUACAAAAUGUGUACAAAACCUAUGCAAACUGGAUAAUAUAUUUGGCAUACCCCUUCGGCGUCAGCUGUGGUCUCAAGGCUGGAGCUGAACAACAACACCCUGAUUACGAACUGUGUUGAGACUGUUCUUCCCAUUCUAUGCAAAGCCACCUGGG